GGAAGUCAAUGUGCGGGCAGCUGCAGGAUAGUUAGGAGUAUUCCUUACUGACGAGCAGAAACACAUGAAACAACCUGCAGCGACACAGAAUUGGGAUCCACACCAGCCCCAUCACCACAAACAGCAGCCCUACGGACACACAGGCAGAGGCUACGGAGUGGGAUGCUUCCGACGACUGGAGCAGGAAGAGGAGUCCACCUGCCGCACACAUCAGUGAUCCCAUCACCAACACAAUGAUAGGCUUGUGAAG